rnacentral:tRNA from 1 species
GUUGAUUUAGCAAAAGAAGUGCAUUUGCUUUAAGCGCAAAAGAUAUCCAAUCAACU